ACCCAUGGAGCAACUCGGAACGUGCCCAGAUCCAUCGGAUCUCGGAAGCUAAGCAGAGUUGAGCCCGGAUUAGUACUUCGAUGGGCGACCGCCGUGCACAUUAGGGUGCUAGGGGUC
rnacentral:rRNA from 1 species